AUCGGGCUCGAGAGUUCACAUCGACAGCCCGGUUUGGCACCUCGAUGUCGGCUCAUCCUAUCCUGGGGCUGGAUAAGGUCCCAAGGGUCCGGCUGUUCGCCGGUUAAAAGGGUACGCGAGCUGGGUUUAGAACGUCGUGAGACAGUUCGGUCUCUAUCUGAUGUGGGCGCAAGGAUACCUGAAGGGGAGCUUUCCACAGUACGAGAGGACCUGGAAAGACAGACCUCUGGUGUUCCGGUUGUCACGCCAAGUGGCAAAGGCCGGGUAGCUAUGUCUGGAAGGGAUAAACGCUGAAGGCAUCUAAGCGUCAAACCCACCCCAAGAAUAGGUAUCCCUUCUGCCAUGAACAGUGGCAGAUGUAGGCCGGUCGUAGACUACGACCUUGAUAGGCGCAAGGUGUAAGACCCGUAAGGGUUUGAGCCAAUGCGUACUAAUCGGCCAAUCGGCUUGACCUU
rnacentral:rRNA from 1 species